rnacentral:piRNA from 1 species
UAGUCUGAUGUGACUGCUACGUAGUACCCA